rnacentral:rRNA from 1 species
UUGGCUCAGGAUGAACGCUAGCGACAGGCUUAACACAUGCAAGUCGAGGGGCAGCGAGGGAGUGGCAACACUUCUGUCGGCGACCGGCGCACGGGUGAGUAACGCGUAUGCAACCUGCCCUUCACAGGGGGAUAACCGGGAGAAAUUCCGACUAAUACCGCAUACGUCCUCCGGGGGCAUCCUUGGGGGAUGAAAGAUUUAUCGGUGAAGGAUGGGCAUGCGUGAUAUUAGGUAGUUGGCGGGGCAACGGCCCACCAAGCCUACGAUGUCUAGGGGUUCUGAGAGGAAGGUCCCCCACAUUGGUACUGAGACACGGACCAAACUCCUACGGGAGGCAGCAGUGAGGAAUAUUGGUCAAUGGACGAGAGUCUGAACCAGCCAAGUCGCGUGAAGGAAGACGGAUCUAUGGUUUGUAAACUUCUUUAGUGCGGGAACAAAGCGGCGUCGUGACGCCGGAUGAGUGUACCGCAAGAAUAAGCAUCGGCUAACUCCGUGCCAGCAGCCGCGGUAAUACGGAGGAUGCGAGCGUUAUCCGGAUUUAUUGGGUUUAAAGGGAGCGCAGGCUGCGAGGCAAGUCAGCGGUCAAAUAUCGGGGCUCAACCCCGGCCUGCCGUUGAAACUGUCCUGCUAGAGUUCGAGUGAGGUAUGCGGAAUGCGUUGUGUAGCGGUGAAAUGCAUAGAUAUGACGCAGAACUCCGAUUGCGAAGGCAGCAUACCAACUCGCGACUGACGCUGAGGCUCGGAAGCGUGGGUAUCGAACAGGAUUAGAUACCCUGGUAGUCCACGCAGUAAACGAUGAAUACUAACUGUUCGGAGGGCGACCUCUGAGUGGUAAAGCGAAAGCGUUAAGUAUUCCACCUGGGGAGUACGCCGGCAACGGUGCAACCUCAAAUGAAUUGACGGA